rnacentral:rRNA from 1 species
GAUCCUGGUCAGGACGAACGCUGGCGGCGUGCCUAACACAUGCAAGUCGAGCGAGGAGAUCCUUCGGGAUGAUCCUAGCGGCGGACGGGUGAGUAACACGUGGGCAACCUGCCUCAUAGAGAGGAAUAGCCUUCCGAAAGGGAGAUUAAUACCUCAUAACAUUGCAGUUUCGCAUGGAACAGCAAUUAAAGGAGUAAUCCGCUAUGAGAUGGGCCCGCGGCGCAUUAGCUAGUUGGUGAGGUAACGGCUCACCAAGGCGACGAUGCGUAGCCGACCUGAGAGGGUGAUCGGCCACAUUGGGACUGAGACACGGCCCAGACUCCUACGGGAGGCAGCAGUGGGGAAUAUUGCACAAUGGGGGAAACCCUGAUGCAAGCAACGCCGCGUGAGUGAUGACGGCCUUCGGGUUGUAAAGCUCUGUCUUCAGGGACGAUAAUGACGGUACCUGAGGAGGAAGCCACGGCUAACUACGUGCCAGCCGCAGC